UGUGCAUACUUAGGUGAGGAAAAUUGGUUUAGAAAUCUAUAUAACUAUUAAAAGUGAGAAGUUGCAAGUUGAAAAACUCCUUAGUAAUAGUGUGGUGACUCUUUUGCCCCUCAAAAAGUACAAAUACAUUUUUGCCCUUAUUUGCUUUUUUGCUUGUUGAUGAUCUGUUAACUCCCAGCCUUCUGCCUGCCAAAUUGCUUAGCUGGUUCUUCUCUCUCCUCAAGUGAAUUGUAGCUACGAGACUCUUCUAAUGGAAGCGGCUUUGACCUCGGUUCUUCCGCCGUCGACCGUAGCUUUCCGGCUUAGUAAGAACUAAGAAGUAUAGAAUUAAUUAGCCGAUUUUACUUGCGAGUCUCACCGAGGUUGAUCUUAUGCGGGAUGCUGAAUUAGGGGAGAUUUAUUGAUGGAGCGUCAGAUCUGCUAUUUCCAGAUCUGCAAACUUCGCCUGCAAUUCACGAUCGGAUCACCGGUUUAAUCCCGGCGAUUAUAGCGUCACCGAGGUUAUCGCGGUGAUGUUGUAGCGGUUCAAGCUGAGAAAUCUGUUUGCAAUUUGGUUCUUCUCUCUCCUCAAGAAGCAGCUUCCGAGCUUUUUCCGUUCCUCCAUUAAAGCAAAUUCUGAGCUUUCCCCUUUAUAGAAGCAGCUUACAAGGGUUCAAUAGAAGGGAUUAGAAGGCAAUGGCUACGUCCGGGGGAAACUAUAUAGAGGUGGAGACGUUGAGUCAAGGAAAGCAAAAGGAGAAGGGAAGCUUUCUACAGAAAAUCAAAGAUACCGCAAGAAAACAAUUGGAAGUAGGUAAAACAAAUCAACAAGAAAAGUUAGCAAGAAAUUUGGGGAUGUAUGCCAAAAAGAGUUGAACAGAGAUUAUGUAAUUUUUAUUUUUGAAAUGGAAAAUCUAACUACUCUUUUGUACUCAUAUUCCUAUAACAUUAAGUAAACUCUUGUAAUUUACCCUCUAUCCAUCGGAUCAAAAGACGCACUUUUGUACCUAUAUUAUUCUAAAACCCUUUGUUUUAAUUUGAGCAUCAUAACAUAAUAGUAUAUACCAAUAUUAGUUCAUGCUUAUUUCUUGAG